GUGAGGAAUUUUCCGCAAUGGGCGAAAGCCUGACGGAGCAAUGCCGCGUGAAGGAUGAAGGCCUAUGGGUUGUAAACUUCUUUUCUCAGAAAAGAAUUAUGACGGUAUCUGAGGAAUAAGCAUCGGCUAACUCUGUGCCAGCAGCCGCGGUAAGACAGAGGAUGCAAGCGUUAUCCGGAAUGAUUGGGCGUAAAGCGUCUGUAGGUUGUUUAAAAAGUAUUCUGUCAAAGAUUAGGGCUUAACCCUAGAUAGGCAGAAUAAACUUUUAAGCUAGAGUUUGGUAGAGGCAGAGGGAAAUCCCGGUGGAGCGGUGAAAUGCGUAGAUAUCGGGAGGAACACCAAAGGCGAAGGCACUCUGCUGGGCCAAUACUAACACUGAGAGACGAAAGCGACGGGAGCAAAUGGGAUUAGAUACCCUAGUAGUCC
rnacentral:rRNA from 1 species